rnacentral:sRNA from 1 species
UCUUAACCCCGAUUGCAGUGGAAAUCCUUUUUCUUUUUCCUUUAAAAAUAAAAAGAUUGAAACGAAAAGCGAGACAAAUG